rnacentral:misc_RNA from 1 species
UUUCCGUAGGUGAACCUGCGGAAGGAUCAUUAAAAAAAGAGAAACGUCCCGUUCUUUUUCAUAAGAAUGGGUCCUAUUCCCUUAAACCGUGUCUGCAUACCUUUGUUGCUUUGGCAGGCCGCCUUCGGGCGUCGGCUCCGGCUGAUAGUGCCUGCCAGAGGACCCAAACUCUAUGUUUAGUGAUGUCUGAGUACUAUAUAAUAUUUAAAACUUCCAACAACGGAUCUCUUGGUUCUG